rnacentral:rRNA from 1 species
GACAGAGGGUGCAAACGUUGUUCGGAAUUACUGGGCGUAAAGCGCGCGCAGGCGGCCUUGCAAGUCGGGCGUGAAAUCCCACGGCUCAACCGUGGAAGUGCACUCGAAACUGCGAGGCUAGAGUCUUGGAGAGGAAGGCGGAAUGCUUGGUGUAGAGGUGAAAUUCGUAGAUAUCAAGCGGAACACCGGUGGCGAAGGCGGCCUUCUGGACAGUGACUGACGCUGAGACGCGAAAGCGUGGGGAGCGAACAGG